rnacentral:lncRNA from 1 species
GCAGAGUGGGUUCAAAGACAGCAUGGCGCCCGACUGUGGGACUUUGUGAGGAGAGUCUCUAGAGAAGGCUAGAGGGAGUGUGGAGCUUUCAGGGCUGGGAGAGAGCAUCCUUGAGGUGUGGAGACUCUGCAGGGAUAUUGCUAAUGCUGCAGGUCACCACUCAGCUCCAAGCUUUGCCAUUGGCUGGUGUACAGUUACUAGGGGAAGGAGGGGGAAGGAGGCCCCUUGAACAGACUCGGGGAGGACCCUUUCUGCAGUGGUGUCCAGGCUAGACAAGGGGGUGGUGAAAGGCUGGUUCUACUUGAAAACAGUUUGAGAAAUGCAGCCCGGGGAGGGGAGGGCCAUGCGACAAGCAGAGGUGAAGCUGUAAGGAGGAGGAGGAGCUGACGCACGGUUGGCGUUUGCUGUUCCAUGUCCGAGCAUGGAAACUGUGCUCACCAUAUCAUAGCUGUGUGAUGGUGGGAGAGCUGCCAGGCCACCCCAAACCUCAGUUUCCUCUUUUAUAAAGUGAGAAUAACAAUACUUAACCCCUAGGAUUACUGUGCCCAUCACAUGAGACACCGUGCACAAACUGCACCAUGCUAAUGGGCACAUGAUAUCAUCUCUGCUUUUAACUUUUGCUUGGGGAGUUGGAGUCUAUGUAGUGUGUGCAUGUAUGUGUGCACAUGUGUGUGAGAGAGUGAGCAUGCACAUAUCCCUAUAUGCAGAGGCCAAAGGAGAAAGUCUGAGUCCUCUUCUGUUGCUGGCCACCUGUUCCCUUGAGACAGUCUCUUACUGAAUCUGAAGUUACUAUUGUGGCCUGGGCUCCCCUGGGAUCCACCUGUCCCUACCUCCCAAUACUAAGGUUACAGGCACACACAGCCGUGCCCAGGUUUUACAUGGUUUCGAUCCAGCUUCUCUCGCAUGCACAGCUGUGCUCUUACUUACCGGGUCACCUCCCAACCUAGGUUAUUAAAAUUACAUAAAUAAAUUAAUUAAUUAGUGGAGUUGGGGUACACACAUCACAGAACACCAGUGCAGGUCCCAGGACAACGUGCAGGAGUUCAGUUCUCUCCAUCCACCCAGUGAGUCUGUGAAUGGAACUCGGGCAGUCAGGUGGUUUGGCAGCGGACACCUCUAUCUGCUGAGCCAUCUAGCCAGCCCUGGUUCAUUGAGACAGGAUCUUGCUGUGUGGCCCUGGCUGGCCUAUAAGUCACUGUGUAGUUCAGGGUGGUUCACAUUCAAGCUCGAGGCCCCUUUCCUGCCUUAGCCUCUCGAGUAGCAUUGUGGGUGUGUGCCCCCAAAUAAACAGAUUAACAGCUAAAAUGUUAGCUGAGCACUAUGGUUCACGCCCUGUGAAUCCUAGCACUCGGGAAGCUAAGGCAGGAGGAUUGGAACUCUGAGGCUAACUUGGACUCUACGGAGACCAUGCCUGAAAAAGAAGGUAAGGGAGCCAGGGCGUGGUGGCACAUGGUGGUGCACACCUUUAAUCCCAGCACAGGGUAGGUACACGCAGGUGGAUCUCUGAGUUUGAGGCCAGCCAAGGCUACAUAGAGAAACCUUGUCCCCCCAGAACCAAAAACCAAACCAAACAAACAAACAGAAGGUGGGGAAGGAAUUGCUGAGGAGAUGGCUCAGAGGUUAAGAGCACUGGCUGCUCUUCCAGAGGACCUGGGUUCAGUCCCCAGAAGCCUCAUAGGAACUCACAACUGUCUGUAACUCCGGGUCCAGGGAAUCGGCUACCCUUUUUCUGAUCUCCACAGGCACUGGGCAUGCAGAUGGCACACACACAUACAUAUAUACAUGUAAAGAGACACUCAUACGAAUACAACAAAAGUAAAUAAAAUGGUUUUUAUACAUCUUGUCUCUGCACACGCCUAAUUUGGAAGUGCUAAACACUCUGUCCUCUUAUGAAUGGCUGCAUCCAAACCUCUAGGCCUGUACCCAGCUCUUCCUAGUCGAUAUCUGUUUAUUCAGCAAACACAGGGAGUCGCUGAGUUCCAGGGACUGUGCUUGGUGCGGGGGGAUUUGGACGGGUGUUGUCCUUGGGGACAUUCUAGAUCUGGGUGGUGAUUUGAAACUUCGGGAGAACCCGGGGCAGCGGCAGCAGUGGACCAUCAGAAGGCAUCCUUCUAGCAGGGUGUGGCUGCAGUGGUGCUGAUUACAGCACUUGGAAGCCCAGAGGCAGGAAUGAGGACUGUGAGUCGCAGGCUAGCCUGGGCUACCUAGCAAGGUCCUGUCCGAAGCAAACAAAUGGCGUUUACCAGCUCUGUGUUAAUUUCCUUACCUUCCAAGAAAGAUCCUUUUUAACACACGACACCUUUAAUCUCAGCACGCUGGGAGCAGAGACAGGUGAAUCUCUGUGAAUUCCAGGCCAGUCAGGACUACACAGUGAAGCCCUGAUCCCAAGCAAAAGACAACCGAAAGCACACAACAUACCAACAAAACAAAAAUGAUGUGUAGCUCAGACUGACCUCAAACUCUUGGUGAUUCCCCUGCCUCAGCUGCCCAGUGCUGAGGUUACAGGCAUGUGCCACCAUGGUUAGCAGAUGGAAAAUCUUAGGUUACAUCACUUAAGGUGGAGGCAGGAAGACCAUGUUUGAGGCCAUGGGGCUGCCGGGCUCCAUACAAAUCAAAUGAAAAAACAAAAAACCC